UGGGGAAUAUUGGACAAUGGGCGCAAGCCUGAUCCAGCCAUGCCGCGUGUGUGAAGAAGGCCUUUUGGUUGUAAAGCACUUUAAGCGAGGAGGAGGCUACUUGGAUUAAUACUCUAAGAUAGUGGACGUUACUCGCAGAAUAAGCACCGGCUAACUCUGUGCCAGCAGCCGCGGUAAUACAGAGGGUGCGAGCGUUAAUCGGAUUUACUGGGCGUAAAGCGUGCGUAGGCGGCUUCUUAAGUCGGAUGUGAAAUCCCUGAGCUUAACUUAGGAAUUGCAUUCGAUACUGGGAAGCUAGAGUAUGGGAGAGGAUGGUAGAAAUCCAGGUGUAUCGGUGAAAUGCGUAGAGAUCUGGAGGAAUACCGAUGGCGAAGGCAGCCAUCUGGCCUAAUACUGACGCUGAGGUACGAAAGCAUGGGGAGCAAACAGG
rnacentral:rRNA from 1 species